GACGAACGCUGGCGGCGUGCUUAACACAUGCAAGUCGAACGGAAAGGCCCUGCUUUUGUGGGGUGCUCGAGUGGCGAACGGGUGAGUAACACGUGAGUAACCUGCCCUUGACUUUGGGAUAACUUCAGGAAACUGGGGCUAAUACCGGAUAGGAGCUCCUGCUGCAUGGUGGGGGUUGGAAAGUUUCGGCGGUUGGGGAUGGACUCGCGGCUUGUCAGCUUGUUGGUGGGGUAGUGGCUUACCAAGGCUUUGACGGGUAGCCGGCCUGAGAGGGUGACCGGCCACAUUGGGACUGAGAUACGGCCCAGACUACUACGGGAGGCAGCAGUGGGGAGUAUUGCACAAUGGGCGGAAGCCUGAUGCAGCAACGCCGAGUGCGGGAUGACGGCCUUCGGGUUGUAAACCGCUUUCGCCUGUGACGAAGCGUGAGUGACGGUAAUGGGUAAAGAAGCACCGGCUAACUACGUG
rnacentral:rRNA from 1 species